rnacentral:ncRNA from 1 species
CUACGGACUUAAUUGGAUUGAGCCUUGGUAUGGAAACUUACCAAGUGAAAACUUUCAAAUUCAGAGAAACCCUGGAAUUAAAAAUGGGCAAUCCUGAGCCAAAUCCUUCUUUCCGAAAACAAAUAAAUAAAAGUUUAGAAAGUGAAAAUAAAAAAAGGAUAGGUGCAGAGACUCAAUGGAAGCUGUUCUAACAAAUGGAGUUGACAAUAUUUACUCUUUCAAUAGAAUAAUCUUG